CUGCAGCAGUGGUUUAUAGCCCCAGUGGUGAGCUGAUAGUCGUGAUAAUCUCCCCUUCACUUGAUACGUUAUCAGUUCAACUUUGAAGUUGAACACAGCUGCAGAAUAUAUUGAUACUUGUCACCAUGUUUCUCUGGCGGAAUAAUACCAGCCAUGAUCAAGAAAAUGAUUCACUGCAGCAUGAAUCUAAGAUCAAUGAGCUCAAGGCUACUAUUGGACCGCUAUCUGGACACAGUUUACAAUAUUGCAGUGACGCAUGCUUUAGAAGAUAUCUGGAUGCUAGGAACUGGAAUGUAGACAAAGCAAAAAAAAUGCUGGAAGAAACGAUUAAAUGGAGAUCGACAUUUAAACCU